rnacentral:sRNA from 1 species
GCCGGGAGUGGUGGCGCAUGCCUGUUAAUCCUACUUGCUAGGGAGGCUGGGGCAGGAGGAUCGUGAGUUCAAAGCCAGCCUCAGCAACUUAGAGAGGCCCUAAGCAACUCAGUGAGACCCUGUCUCUA